UCCUUCCUGCCAAUGAGGAGCAAGCAUUGGGGUACCUUUACCGGUGGGGUGUGUGGAGGGCAUGGGGACACACAGGGGACCCUACAAGAUUUCACUGUGAUUUUGGUAGAUCCCUGCCUAUUAAAAAACCUUGCCUGCCAUUAUCCUUAACCAUUUUGGCAAUGAUUCCAUCCCUCCUUUCCAAAAAAACCAGAAAAAUUAACUAUGACUGGUUUGGGGAUUUUUAGGCUAAGUACUUGGGUACCUUCUAUGCUUUUAAGCCUUAACUGGCCCUUUAGUGUUGUCUGUGAAACUAGUAGCUUUAUCUCAUUGCAUUUGUUGUUAAUUGGAAUUUUUGUAUGUUAUUUUAAGACAUUUGGGGAGGUUGUCACUAAACAGGACUAGAAAUCCUUAUUGCUCUCAUUUUGUAGCAACAUAUUCAAGUCAUGUAGCAGAUGACUAAAGCAGUAAAUAUGAACUGGAGUUUUGUUUUUUUUAUUGAUUUUAUUUUUUUUUUUUUAACAGAUAUUCUGGUUCUCAUUAGCACAGAUGCUUUAGAUCUCAGAUCCCACAAGUGGAUUUCAAAGGAGUGGGUGGAAAAAUUUUGUCUGGACAUAUUUGACCAAAUGCACUGUAUACCUCUCCAAAUACAAACUACUAGGAGUUUUGCUUUUCCAUGUCUCCACCCUGAUGAUGGGUAUUGAAUAAAAUGUUUUAACACUUCAUUCCUCUUGCUCUUGAGUGAGCUAUUGGAUCUAGCUGUCAAGACACAGGACAAAUGUCUUUAUAUGGAGACAGGACUUAACAUGGUCAGAUCCUGAGGAAAGGCUAUGUACUUCUACUUAAUCUCCAAGAAUGAAAUAACUCACCUGGGGCUCUUGCAGACAUAUUCCCCUACAUGUCUCUAACCCACUGGUGUGAUAGCAUUAGCAAUUGCAUCAGAAAUACUAUAUCCAUGACUUUAUUUACAAGUGAGCAUUUAAAAUGACACCUAUCUGAAGCUAGCCUCUACUGUUGUUUGUUAGGCUACAGAACUGAAGUUUGCUGCCUGAAACCAGCAUUCAACCAUGUAGGUAAUCAGGUUUGUAUUUGCAAACACUUGUAAGCAAAGAAAGUUGCAACAUGGCUCCUGACAAUUUAUUAAAUAAUUCAGGAGUAGAAUUAACUGUCACCAUUGAAACCUGGUAACAUUCACAAGAAACAUGAAAUGUGUGGAACUAUAUCCCCAAACAAGCACCAUCACGCUGACUUUACAGAAGUAUGAAUGACGUGAGGGAAUAUUGUAAAAAGCAUUGGUGCUUACUGGUGGCAUACUUUGAGGUCAUUGUUGUGGGCACCAUAAGUUUGCAUGACAGAUCUAGGUACACCUGUAUGGAAUACCUUCCCUAAGACUUGUGGAAGUGGAUAAUCCUUUGUUAAAAGUGUGAGAACUGCCAGAUUUGAAUGCCUGAGUGCAGUGCCAGAUAAGAUGAACGUGAAAAAGAUAUUACUGCCCUUCCAAGCACUCUUGGGAAGUAUUUAUGCACGAGAGUAGUUUCAC